GUAGGACCCUACGAGCCAGGUGUGGGAUGUAAUCUCAUGAGCUGGUAUACGAUGCCUCUCCAGAAUCACCUUGUUCUUUCUGGAUCUAUUCAGAAUCUGAAACUCCUAGAAAAGAAAAAUGCAAGAUGCAUGAGUGUUGAUGUCUGACCAAACUCCAGGGUAGUGGAAAGAGUGUCCUUUUGCCUCAUAUCACCUUUGCUGAACACAGGUGCUAAAUGGAUGGCAGGUUGAGAGUUGAGACAGGAUCUCACUAUGUUGCCUUGCAUGGACUGGAACUCCUUGGCUCAAGAAAUCUUCUUGCCUCAGCCUCCCAAAUAGCUAGGACUAUAUGCACAUGCUACUACACCUAGUGGAAAAUGAAGCACAGAGAAGUUCAGUGAUGGACCUCAGAUACUACCAGCAGAAAGCAGAAGAGCUAGGAUUUCAACUUAGGAUGUCUGGAUCCACAGUCUGCACUCCUACCCACUAUGCUACACUGCCUCUAACUAUGAGGAAGCAAGGGCAUUUUUUUUUUUCUGGUGACUAAAAAGAUAAGAGUUCAAGUAUGUGGCUCCUGAUAAUCUAACUUAUACAGCCUGGAAAAAUUGAUAGUUACUAUAUCCAGACUGUCUCAUUCAAUUAACAGUUUCUCAAGUAAUCUUCUAGUUACUGUCGUAUUUUAUCUGUAUCAACUUAGCAAACCAAGUCCAAAACAUUUUAUAUGUGUCUAUCUUUCCUGCUGUUCAUAUUAUUGAGUUAGCCAAAUAAAUUCAAUUUUUUUUCUACUGUUUGUUUCUCACAAA
rnacentral:lncRNA from 1 species